AUCGAACGCUGGCGGCAUGCCUUACACAUGCAAGUCGAACGGCAGCACGGGUGCUUGCACCUGGUGGCGAGUGGCGAACGGGUGAGUAAUAUAUCGGAACGUACCUUAUUGUGGGGGAUAACGCAGCGAAAGCUGUGCUAAUACCGCAUAAUCCCUAAGGGGGAAAGCGGGGGACCGCAAGGCCUCGCGCAAUUAGAGCGGCCGAUACCUGAUUAGCUAGUUGGUGAGGUAAAGGCUCACCAAGGCAACGAUCAGUAGCUGGUCUGAGAGGACGAUCAGCCACACUGGGACUGAGACACGGCCCAGACUCCUACGGGAGGCAGCAGUGGGGAAUUUUGGACAAUGGGAGCAACCCUGAUCCAGCAAUGCCGCGUGAGUGAAGAAGGCCUUCGGGUUGUAAAGCUCUUUUGUCAGGGAAGAAACAGCAGCUCUAACACAGUAUGCGAAUGACGGUACCUGAAGAAUAAGCACCGGCUAACUACGUGCCAGCCGCCGCCGUAA
rnacentral:rRNA from 1 species